rnacentral:rRNA from 1 species
UUCCUACGGGAGGCAGCAGUGAGGAAUAUUGGUCAAUGGCCGAGAGGCUGAACCAGCCAAGUCGCGUGAGGGAUGACGGCCCUACGGGUUGUAAACCUCUUUUGUCGGGGAGCAAGACCCGCCUCGUGCAGGCGGAGCGAGAGUACCCGAAGAAAAAGCAUCGGCUAACUCCGUGCCAGCAGCCGCGGUAAUACGGAGGAUGCGAGCGUUAUCCGGAUUUAUUGGGUUUAAAGGGUGCGCAGGCGGACCAUCAAGUCAGCGGUAAAAUUGAGAGGCUCAACCUCUUCGAGCCGUUGAAACUGGUU